ensembl:snoRNA SNORA70 Small nucleolar RNA SNORA70
CUACAGCCAAUUAUGCCAACUGUGCUCUUCUCUGUGGAGCCCAAUGUGCCAUGGUUGCAAACUACAGCCUCUUUGAGUGUACAGUCUGUUGUGUGUAAAAGUUGCCCUCAAAGACCUUA